GCGUUACUUGCACCCAAGAGCAAGUUCAAACUCGAGAAUUAGUACAAUGAUGAAUUGCAUAGAUUGGAAAUGGGUCUAAACAAUCAACAAAAAAGUGAAUUUUGCAAGGAUUAAGGCCUUAUUUGGCAAGCCGGGAUUGAGGCCCAUUCCCACGGCCCAAUAAGAUCUCCAUUCGGCCCAAAACCCCCCAAACCCAGCGCCGCCGCUUCCCAUCUCGCUCAUCCAUCUCCGACCGCCGCCACCCUCCGCAUGCCGCCGGCGCCUCCCUCCGAGCGGCGCCGUGCAGGGGUUUUACCAGAGCAGCAGCCGUCGAGGGGCGACGGCGACGGCCGGCUGCGGCUGCGUCAUGCUGCCCCUCUACGCCUACCUCGGCAGAUUGAGCCAACCAUGGUUCAGAAAAGGAGAGAGAUUAUGAAGUCUUAAGAUAAACUAGCUUCGAUUGGUGAAGAAAAGCAUUCCCCUGUGGUGUUUACUAAAUUGAGGAAAGAAAAGCUCAGACUUAACAAGAUGAUUUCCAUGAAUGCUAUAGAAUAGAGAAACACUUUUGAGACUAUGGGAGCAGUACCUUCAAGCCGGCUACUGACACAAUAUUGGGUUUUCAAAGCUGUGCCACAUCUGUCAGGCAAUCCAACCAUCACAGUUAUGAAUUAAAGUUUGGAACCAUGAGUUCAUAUUUACUACUUUUUUUGCAAGUAAAACUAAAACAGUUAUACAAGUAAAACGAAAACAGUUCAUACUGGACUAGACUGAAGGGACUCCAGGACAAACUGAUAUGAACUGAUGGCUAUUCUUGUGAAGGUCCUGUACACCACUUAAGUUAGUUAAGCAAUAGUAACUAUGAAGAACUCCAGAACUCUCUCUCUCUCCUUGUUUUGUUUUCUUUGGCUGAUUUGUAGCCCUUUUUUCCCUAUCUAAUGGAAUGACAUGCAAGUCUUUUGCAUGUUCCCCAAACUAAUGCUAGAACACCUUUGUAUAGGUGGCAAAUGUAAGAAUGGAGAGAAAAAAACUGCAAGCCAUAAUAUCAGUAGCUAAAACAUCGAAAACUCAAUGUUUUCCACAGAUAUUCUGUCAUGACGAUAUUUUGAUCCAUAACUUAUUACACCCCAACUUGCCGUGUACAUCACUAAAUCUUCAUGAGUGAUAAUCCAAAAAAUACAACUUUAGUACCAAUAAGCCUAGUAUAAAUGACAUAAUAACACCUGCACACCAAAACCCCCCAAAAGACGGUCAGUAAUCUGAGUGCAAAGUACCUUUCUCAGAAAUGACAUCAACUGUGCGGAUUAAACUAGUACUUGCAACCCAUGAUAAUAUAAAUCUCAAACAAUGAUUUAGGAGACCUGUUCUCAGAUUAUUGUACAUUAUUUAAGAGUAAAAGGUAUAAGAACUGGUCGUCUAGUGCAUCUGCCGUCUGAUAUAGCUAGAAGCAGGAGACUAUGCAAGUUCACUUGAAAGUUAGAAUUCAAAAAAUUUGGAAUACCUGACAGCAUAAGUGAAUUUACAUGAUUCUACAAUGAUUAUAGCUAUUCUCUGAACACACAUACAGCUGGUAUGCAAAACUUAUGCUACCUAAGCAUUAGUUCCUUUACGGUGCUCACAUCUAGCCAUCUAGAUCUAGGCAUUGAUAUGCACACUUGAGUAAAGCUCCAUUUUACAUGCUUAUACUUACAUGAUUUAUGUACAGGAAUAUAAGGAUACCACCCAUACAAGAUCCUCAUCUGAGGAAUGGUGCAUGGAUGGAUUAUUGCCAUAUGAGGAAUGGUGCGUGGAUGGAUUAUUGCCAAGUUGUACACAGAUGUGUCGAUUUUUAUGAUCGGCAAUAUAAUUUAUAGGGUGUUCUAUAUCAAGGAGAGAUGGUGACACAGACAUUUAUACUGGUUCAGGCCCUCAAUGCGAGCCGCCACCCUCCACAGGCCGCAGUUGCCUCAGCUCCCUUCAUGCGCCGUGCAGGAGUUUUACAAGAGAGCAGCAGCCGCCGAGGGACGACGGUGAUGACCGGCUACGCUGCGUCAUGCUGUCCCUCGACGCCGACCACCGCGGGAGGAACAGCAUGAUAUGUUCCUGGACCGCCUCGGCUGCAGCCAACCAUGGAAGAGGAUACCACCCAUACAAGAUCCGCAUCUGAGGAACGGUGCAUGGAUGGAUUAUUGCCGAGUUGUACUGUACACGACUGGCUAAAAGAAAGGGCACUCCAAUACGAGGCCCAGCACUGCACUACUAGUUCAUCACCCCCCUGCAAACGAUGUGAUGGAUGGGGUUAGGAAAAAGGACGUGUAAUUGUGGGAUUUAGGAACUAGUAGGAACAUAGAAGCAUCUAUUACCUUAUUAGUCGUGCACUAGAGAAUUAGUUCGAUUUCUGGGUUGGUUUUCUUGAGCUUCUUGCACUGCUUUACGAGCUUCUCGUUGUCGCGGACUAUGAAGUAUUUCAGUGAACCUGGGAGGCCAUCCUUGGGCAGUGACUGGAUGGAUGGACAGUUCAUAAUCA